CACGCAAAUUACCCACUCCCGGAACGGGGAGGUAGUGACAAAAAAUAACGAUACGGGACUCGAUAUGAGGCCUCGUAAUCGGAAUGAGUACACUCUAAAUCCUUUAACAAAAAUCUAUUGGAGGGCAAGUCUGGUGCCAGCAGCCGCGGUAAUUCCAGCUCCAAUAGCGUAUAUUAAAGUUGUUGCGGUUAAAAAGCUCGUAGUUGGUUCUGCGUCCCGCGCUGUCGGUACACCGUUUGUCGGUGACACUGGCAUGACGCGGGAUGUCCUGUCGGUGGCGGCGGAGACCAUAUCGUCGUCGGAUAACACCGCGGCGUGUUGGCCUUCUGUCGCCGGCUAUAUCCUACCGCGGUGCUCUUCACUGAGUGUCGAGGUAGGCCGACACGUUUACUUUGAACAAAUUAGAGUGCUUAAAGCAGGCAAAAAUCUCUGCCAGAAUAGUGGUGCAUGGAAUAAUGGAACAGGACCUUGGUUCUAUUCUGUUGGUCUCCGGAACACAAGGUAAUGAUCAAUGUGGACAGGCGGGGGCAUUCGUAUUGCGGCGUUAGAGGUGAAAUUCUUGGAUCGUCGCAAGACGCACUAGAGCGAAAGCAAUUGCCAAGUAUGUCUUAAUUGAUCAAGAACGAAAGUUAGAGGUUCGAAGGCGAUCAGAUACCGCCCUAGUUCUAACCAUAAACGAUGCCAGCCAGCGAUCCGCCGAUGUUCCUUUGAUGACUCGGCGGGGAGCUUUCCCCGGGAAACCAAAGCUUUUGGGUUCCGGGGGAAGUAUGGUUGCAAAGCUGAAACUUAAAGGAAUUGACGGAAGGGCACCACCAGAAGUGGAGCCUGCGGCUUAAUUUGACUCAACACGGGAAACCUCACCAGGUCAGGACAUUGGAAUGAUUGACAGAUUGAUAGCUCUUUCUUGAUUCAGU
rnacentral:rRNA from 1 species